UCACCUUUUCCAAGGAAAGAAAAUCCAAGCAAAGUUACCUGUAAAACCCAGGCAGCUUUGGCUGUAUCUAUGGAGCUAUUUGCUACCUAAAAUCCGUUGCUGCCGCCUUCUCUACCACCUGUAUUUCUCCCUCUUCAUGGAUUUUCUUCUGUCUUCUGUCUCCUCCCUCUUGUUUUUCUUCUCCCUCCUUACCAACCCCUUUAAAUCCCCCACUUCCACGUACUAUUCUUUGCUUGCAAUCAAAGUUAGAGUGAUCGUUCUAUAUAAAUCAAGAGAGAAAGACGAGGGAGUGAGAACUGUUCUCUCAAUUAUUUGCUCAUCUCCCAGUCUUUCUGUCAUAUAUAUCAUCUCUUCAACUGUUGAGAGCACUUACUACUAUAGCAAGAGCUGCUUGGUCUGAAAGAAUGGCCUGCCUGGCUCCCUGAAUGCCAUCUAGGAAGCUUGUCAAAGAGUGUUGGCAACCUUUCUAUUUGGCAUGAGGGGAGUCGAGCAGGCCAAUUAACAACAGCUUACAGCUACCCUGUAUUGAACUCAUGAGGUACCAGCAAGUACAUUCCUGGCUAUAUAUAUUAUAAUUUCCUCUGCAGCUGCUAGUGCUACCUAGUACUGAAAGAGCCUAACCUCUCAGGAGAUUGUUAUUGCGACUCCUGUGCGAUUCAUGAAUAAGGUAAAAUCAAACACCAUUAAUUUCUAAUUAAGUUAUUUAAAGAGUACUAAGCUUUUUUUUUGGCCAUUGUAUGAGUAUCAGAGAAUAUCUACAUCCUAGUUUCCUUUUGAGUUAGUGAUAGCUAUAUAUCGGAUAUAAUAUUUAAUGCCAUUUUUGAACGGUACUGCAGUCAAUAAUAUUGAGUGUUGAUUGUUCUAGCUGAUCACGAUUAACUUUAAUUAUUUUUUAUGGAUGAAUCUGUGAGGUGAAGAAGAAGAAGCAUGAUUAAACAGAUGAUUGAAUAGACCCUGGAUUAAUUAGAGAAUUGAUAGGUGCAUUAUUAUGAUCACAUACUAAUUUAUAAGCACCUCUUGAAAUCAAUCAAGUUUGGCAGUGUGCGUGGCUAUGAGAGAUAUGUGUCUGGGAAGAAGCCAUGUAUUGUUGUGGGCCCAUAACCAUUCAAAUAUCUACAACCAUAAAUGAAAAGGAUCGAUGUAAACAAUCAAUCUUUGAACUCUUGUUUUUAACUGAUGAUUUGUAGCUCUCUCUUUAAUACAAGGGUCUGUUUCUGUAA